GCCUCUAGAUCCUUCCCCAUUGUGUGAACAGUGGGAAGCCCCCAAAGCAAAGCCUUCCUGCAAAGUCUCAGAGCAGAGUGCAAGUCCCUGAGGUGACCCCACUUGGGUUCCUUCUGAAAACCAUAUUCUAGUUUACGAGCGUGCCAUUCUUGGAGAAGAAGCGAGCAACUGAGAAUGCAAGAUCUUCAGCUGAUCUCUGAGAUGGUGGGUCACCAAACACUCUGUACUGAGCAGUCCAGUUCUCAGUCCAUAACACAGGCUUAUUUGGUCGAUUCGGGCCAACAAAAGUAUCUCCACAGUUCCUUCCAUUGCAUGAGUUGAUCUUCACACUCACAAAGAAAAAAGGAAAAAAAACAUUUUUAGGCCAUAGAACCCUCUGAUUGUUUGUACCUUGUAAGAAAGAAGGUGAAGAUAGUAGACUGACCACUGGAUCAGGGGCAUCAUUUUGCUUACACAUCACCCAUGGCACUCCUGUCUUUAGCCCAACCGCCAUGUUUCCGGCCCAUUGAACAUAAGAUUUUCCCUUCUCCUUAAAUGCAAGCUCGAUCAUGUUAUAUUCAUUUUCGAUCUGGACCCACCAAAGAAUAUUAAGGUGAGAUUAACAGGAUUAAGCAAGACCAUACUUUCAAUUUGGAGGAUGGAAAUUACAAAGGAAUUAAACCUGUGAUAGGAUAAUAGGACCGCCCUGAGAUGCAUAUAACUUCUCUCUCUUCAUCAUGUUCACAAUCAUCUUUGUAAACUUCUCCAUAUGAUACUGAAUAUUGAAAAUUUUCAAUAAGAGGUCAUUGAAUGUGCAUGUAAGCUUACGUAUUCAUUUCAUAUCAAUAACGGAAAAUAAGAAUCAUGGGGAAGAAACCACCUUGAAUGGUGGAUUAUCGGUA